GUGGUCUUCGGACCACAAUGGAUAGUGGCGCACGGGUGAGUAACGCGUGGGAACAUACCUUGGAGUACGGAAUAACUAAUGGAAACGCUAGCUAAUACCGUAUACGCCCUACGGGGGAAAGAUUUAUCGCUCCAAGAUUGGCCCGCGUCUGAUUAGUUUGUUGGUAGGGUAAUGGCCUACCAAGACUACGAUCAGUAGCUGGUUUGAGAGGAUGAUCAGCCACACUGGGACUGAGACACGGCCCAGACUCC
rnacentral:rRNA from 1 species